AAUGGCUCACCAAGGCGACGAUCCGUAACUGGUCUGAGAGGAUGAUCAGUCACACUGGAACUGAGACACGGUCCAGACUCCUACGGGAGGCAGCAGUGGGGAAUAUUGGACAAUGGGCGAAAGCCUGAUCCAGCCAUGCCGCGUGUGUGAAGAAGGUCUUCGGAUUGUAAAGCACUUUAAGUUGGGAGGAAGGGUUGUAGAUUAAUACUCUGCAAUUUUGACGUUCCCAACACAAUAAGCACCCGCUAAUUCUGUGCCUGCCGCCGGGGUAAUACCGAGGGUGCAAGCGUUAAUCGGAAUUACUGGGCGUAAAGCGCGCGUAGUUGGUUUGUUAAGUUGGAUGUGAAAGCCCCGGUGGUCAACCUGGGAACUGCUUCCAAACUGGCAAGCUUGAGUACCGUACACGGUGGUGGAAUUUUCCUGUGUAGCGGUCAACUGCGUAGAUUUCUGAAGGGAACCCCACUGGGCGAAUGCCAUCACCUU
rnacentral:rRNA from 1 species